rnacentral:rRNA from 1 species
UUGACGGGCCCGCACAAGCAGCGGAGCGUGUGGUUUAAUUCGAUGCUACACGAAGAACCUUACCAGGGUUUGACAUGCUAGUGGUAGGAACCGAAAGGUGACCGACCCUUCGGGAGCUAGCACAGGUGCUGCAUGGCUGUCGUCAGCUCGUGUCGUGAGAUGUUCGGUUAAGUCCGCUAACGAGCGCAACCCUCGCUGUGUGUUAUAUGUGUCACACGGGACUGCCGGUCUUAAGCCGGAGGAAGGUGGGGAUGAUGUCAAGUCAGCAUGGCCUUUAUAUCCUGGGCUACACACACGCUACAAUGGUCUGUACAAUGGGUAGCCAAGCCGCGAGGCGGAGCCAAUCCCGAAAGCAGGCCUCAGUUCAGAUUGCAGUCUGCAACUCGACUGCAUGAAGCCGGAGUUGCUAGUAACCGCAGGUCAGCAAUACUGCGGUGAAUACGUUCCCGGGUCUU